rnacentral:rRNA from 1 species
AGAGAGAGACAUGCGCGCAUAUCAAUAAGCGGAGGAAAAGAAACUAACAAGGAUUCCCCUAGUAACGGCGAGUGAAGCGGGAAGAGCUCAAAUUUGAAAUCUUAAAGGGUUUCCCUUUACGAAUUGUAGUUUAAAGAAGUGUUUUCUGUUGAGGUUUUGGUAAAAGUUCUUUGGAAUAGGACAUCAUAGAGGGUGAGAAUCCCGUAUUUGACCUUUACUUUCAACUUUGUGAUACACUUUCAAAGAGUCGGAUUGUUUGGGAAUGCAGUCCAAAAUGGGUGGUAAAUUUCAUCUAAAGCUAAAUAUUGGCGAGAGACCGAUAGCGAACAAGUACCGUGAGGGAAAGAUGAAAAGAACUUUGAAAAGAGAGUUAAACAGUACGUGAAAUUGUCAAAAGGGAAGCGUUUGACACCAGUGUUGUUUUUCUGAAAAUCAAUUAAAGAACUGUUUAUGCUAAGUUGUUUAGACUUUAUCAGCUAUACUGUUUAGUUUUGAGCUUUUCUUUAAUGCACUUUUCAGUUAACAAGUCAACAUCAAUUUCUUUUGCUGUAAAAAAGCUUGAGGAAGGUGGCUUGAGAUUCGUCUUAAGUGUUUAUAGCCUCUUAGCCUAUGCAGUCGGAGAGAUUGAGGUCUGCAGCGUAGAUCCUUCGGGGCUAAAUGCAUUUGUGCUAAGUUAUAGCAUUUUAUAGACAACUUGUUGACUAUGAUUUGUCUUGUAGCUUACUCGCUUAUGUUAUUUUACCUACGCUUAGGAUGUUGACGCAUGAGAUAUACGC